GAUGAACGCUGGCGGCGUGCUUAACACAUGCAAGUCGAACGGAAAGGCCCAAGCUUGCUUUGGUACUCGAGUGGCGAACGGGUGAGUAACACGUGGGUGAUCUGCCCUGCACUUCGGGAUAAGCCUGGGAAACUGGGUCUAAUACCGGAUAGGACCACAUUUUGGAUGGUGUGGUGGAAAGUUUUUCGGUGUGGGAUGAGCUCGCGGCCUAUCAGCUUGUUGGUGGGGUAAUGGCCUACCAAGGCGUCGACGGGUAGCCGGCCUGAGAGGGUGUACGGCCACAUUGGGACUGAGAUACGGCCCAGACUCCUACGGGAGGCAGCAGUGGGGAAUAUUGCACAAUGGGCGCAAGCCUGAUGCAGCGACGCCGCGUGGGGGAUGACGGCCUUCGGGUUGUAAACUCCUUUCGCUAGGGACGAAGCGCAAGUGACGGUACCUGGAGAAGAAGCACCGGCUAACUACGUG
rnacentral:rRNA from 1 species